rnacentral:rRNA from 1 species
AUUGAACGCUGGCGGCAUGCCUUACACAUGCAAGUCGAACGGCAGCACGGGUGCUUGCACCUGGUGGCGAGUGGCGAACGGGUGAGUAAUACAUCGGAACAUGUCCUGUAGUGGGGGAUAGCCCGGCGAAAGCCGGAUUAAUACCGCAUACGAUCUACGGAUGAAAGCGGGGGACCUUCGUGCCUCGCGCUAUAGGGUUGGCCGAUGGGUGAUUAGCUAGUUGGUGGGGUAAAGGCCUACCAAGGCGACGAUCAGUAGCUGGUCUGAGAGGACGACCAGCCAAACUGGGACUGAGAAACGGACCAGAAUCCUACGGGAGGCAGCAGUGGGGAAUUUUGGAAAAUGGGCGAAAGCCUGAUCCAGAAAUGCCGCGUGUGUGAAGAAGGCCGUCGGGUUGUAAAGCACUUUUGUCCGGAAAGAAAUCCUUGGCACUAAUACGGUCGGGGGAUGACGGUACCGGAAGAAUAAGCACCGGCUAACUACGU